UACGGGGGGAGCAAGCGUUGUUCGGAUUUACUGGGCGUAAAGGGCGCGUAGGCGGUCAGCACAAGUCAGUUGUGAAAUCUCCGGGCUUAACCCGGAAAGGUCAACUGAUACUGUGCGACUAGAGUGCGGAAGGGGCAACUGGAAUUCUCGGUGUAGCGGUGAAAUGCGUAGAUAUCGAGAGGAACACCUGCGGCGAAGGCGGGUUGCUGGGCCGACACUGACGCUGAUGCGCGAAAGCCAGGGGAGCGAACGGGG
rnacentral:rRNA from 1 species